GACGAACGCUGGCGGCGUGCUUAACACAUGCAAGUCGAACGGAAAGGCCCUGCUUUUGUGGGGUGCUCGAGUGGCGAACGGGUGAGUAACACGUGAGUAACCUGCCCUUGACUUUGGGAUAACUUCAGGAAACUGGGGCUAAUACCGGAUAGGAGCUCCUGCUGCAUGGUGGGGGUUGGAAAGUUUCGGCGGGUGGGGAUGGACGCGCGGCUUAUCAGCUUGUUGGUUGGGGAGUGGCUUACCAAGGCUUUGACGGGUAGCCGGCCUGAGAGGGUGACCGGCCACAUUGGGACUGAGAUACGGCCCAGACUCCUACGGGAGGCAGCAGUGGGGAAUAUUGCACAAUGGGCGGAAGCCUGAUGCAGCAACGCCGCGUGCGGGAUGACGGCCUUCGGGGUGUAAACCGCUUUCGCCUGUGACGAAGCGUGAGUGACGGUAAUGGGUAAAGAAGCACCGGCUAACUACGUG
rnacentral:rRNA from 1 species